GGGGCCAGAAGGUGGACCAGGAGCAGCCCGGGUCUGAGGAGGGCCUGGCUACCGUGGCUGAGGGUCCCAGGGGUCCCGGUGGGAAGUGGGCACUGCCUGGCCUGAGGGGCACGGUCCCGGCCAGCUGGUUGGGGCCGCACAGCCUGCUCCAGCCCUGAGGCCAUGUCCACGGCCAGCUCCCAGCCAACGUUUAGAGAAUGUGUUUCCUGGGGUUCCGAGGACAAAGUAGGGGUCAGUCUGAACGAGGCACUGACCUCAAGGGAAUUGGUGUUUCCUUGAGAACCAGAAGUAUUGGAACUUGGAUCUUGGGUUAAUUAUCCAAAUCUUUGGAAAAAGUGUUGUUUUGAUUCUUCAUCUGAAAAUCCUGAAAUUCUGCCUUCUCUUGAGGAUGUGAGUCAAAGGAGCAAGACGAAGUGAGUAAAACUGUGCAGAUUUCUCAGCGAGACUGAGAAGUGCCAUCUUGAACCAGCUCCACAGGAGCCCGGAUUUUGCUGCUGCCGGGCCCUGCCCCCAGCGCCUUGCACUGGAGAUGAUGUGAACUAGCGAUGCUCAGAUUUGUAACCUGGAGACUCCAGACGUUUUUUAAUCCCGUGCCCUCAGGCUGAACACCCCCCUUUGACUGUCUCCUGACUUCCUUCGUGUAUAAGAGAAGCUCACCCUGCGCUGCUUUUAGGAACCUCUGGUGGAAACGCCACAGCGGACCCGUUCUGUGGCUCCUUCUGCGAGGCUCGUUAUCUCAGGGUCUGUGUAGGAGCAGUUUGUUCCCAGAGAGCCUGAGAUACCCUUCAUCUGGCGUCUUUAUCUUAGAGAUGAUGGUGCCAGUUGUGAACAAGGCGGCUUUAUUUCUCUCCAGCUCUGGAUCAGGAUGGACCCUGCUGGAUGGGGUGUUUCCCUCCCUGGAACUUACAGAUGCCGCAGUUGUGGCCAAAAAGAAAAGAGACAGACGGUGGUGGCUGGGACCAGAGCGGAAGAGUGAAGAUUGUAGAAGUGGAUGACGGUCCUGAAUGCUGGCAAGGAGGCUGGGGUUUCCGGCUGCAUAGCUGUCCUAGCAUCUGAAAUGGAAGGAAACUAUUCAGUUAGCAUUUCCACCCUGGUCCCUCCUGCAGUGAUUUGUGUCUCCGCACUAUUAGCUUGAAUUCAGCUGAAGUCAUUUCCUAUGGGGUUAUUCUCCUGUUAACAGGAGAAACCCAGCAAUCCUGCCCCGCUGGGCUCAAAACGCCUCUCUCCCUCUUUCCAUGUUUAAAAAUAUCGAACAGUCGUCUCCAAGCUCAAGGGAAAUAAAGUGCCCAAAACAACUUGA
rnacentral:lncRNA from 1 species